UCGUCAAAAAUUAAAUAAAAUUAACAAAACUUUCCCUGAAUUCAUUCGCAAACCGAUUGAAUCCAAUUUAAUCAAUUAAAUCACACACAUUUGAUGCAACUCUGUCCCUCUAAAAAUAGCAGCAAUUUGCCGGACACCUCCUUCAAUUCACUCCUCCCCACCAUUAACUCUCUCUCUUUCUCUCUCUGAGAUACACUGGAAUGCACAAGAAUCGAUUUUUUUCGAACCCAACUACGCCGGGAUCUGCGUUUCCUGAUGAUUGCAACCCGACAACGGAUUUAUUUGGAUUUGUGUUGAUUGAAUCCGGUGGAAUUGGCACUGAUUAAGAGAAAGGGGAGGUUUUGUUUUUCUGUGAAAAGGGAUUUCAUUUUUGGGAUUUGGUGAAGGUAAAAAGGAAGGGACGAAAAGGGGGAAUUUAUUGGUUUUAGGAAGGGAGAGCAGAGCAAUGUUGUCUAAGAGUGGUGACCAUCAGACUGUCCCUUUAUCGGUGUUGUUGAAACGGGAGCUUGCGAAUGAGAAGAUCGAGAGGCCGGAGAUUACACACGGCCAGGCCAGUCAGAGCAAGAAAGGCGAGGACUUGACCUUCAUUAAGACCGAAUGCCAACGAGUCUUAGGCGAUGGAGUCACCACGUACUCUGUUUUUGCGUUAUUUGAUGGUCAUAAUGGAUCUGCAGCUGCAAUCUAUUCGAAGGAGAAUCUCUUGAAUAAUGUUUUGAAUGCUAUUCCACAAGAUCUUAACAGUGAAGAGUGGGUGGCGGCUUUACCCAGGGCUUUAGUUGCAGGGUUUGUCAAAACGGACAAAGAUUUCCAGGAAAGAGCCCAAACUUCAGGAACAACGGUAACCUUUGUAAUAAUUGAGGGAUGGGUCUUAACUGUUGCUUCAGUUGGUGAUUCUCGUGGUGUGCUUGAAUCAGCUGAAGGGGCGAUAUAUUAUCUCUCGGCAGAUCAUAGACUUGAAUGCAGUGAAGAAGAGAGGGAUCGGAUAACUGCAAGUGGCGGUGAAGUUGGACGCCUCAAUACUGGAGGCGGCACAGAGAUUGGUCCGUUGAGAUGUUGGCCCGGUGGCUUGUGUCUUUCACGAUCCAUUGGCGAUAUGGAUGUUGGGGAGUACAUUGUUCCUGUACCUCAUGUGAAGCAAGUCAAGCUAUCAUCAACUGGUGGAAGGCUUAUUGUCUCGAGCGAUGGUGUUUGGGAUGCAAUAUCCGCAGAAACAGCUUUUGAGUGUUGCAGAGGAAUGCCGCCAGACGCUGCAGCUUCACAGAUUGUCAAAGAAGCCGUACAGGUGAAAGGGCUUCGAGAUGAUACAACAUGUAUCGUUGUAGACAUACUGCCUCCUGAGAAGCACGACCCACCAAAAGUACCCCCUAAGAAGCAAGGGAAAAGAGGCAUCAAGUCUAUGUUUCGGAAGAAGUCCUCGGAGUCGACUUCUCUCCCCGAAAAGGAAGAACACGUUGAAAUAGAUACGGUGGAGGAAAUGUUUGAGGAAGGAUCGGCCUUCCUAUCGGAAAGGUUGGACUCGAAGUACCCGGUGUGCAACAUGUUCAAGCUGUUCGUAUGUGCCGUUUGCCAAGCGGAGAUAAAACCUGGAGAGGGCAUUUCAAUACACUCAGGAACAACCGAUUUGAAAAAUUUACGGCCUUGGGACGGCCCUUUCCUCUGCACAAGCUGCCAAGUGAAGAAAGACGCCAUGGAAGGGAAAAGAGCUUCCAGAGGUUCUAGGUAUAGUAGUGGAAGUGACUAGUUGUUAUCGUUCACCCUCAUAAUACCGAGUGUUCAAACGGACUAUAACAAUGAAGCCCGUUGCAUGACAAGAACAACUCUACUAUCUGUGUUGCUAUAAGCUAGUAAGGGUAAUUGGAACCCCUGUUGUGAAUAGCUAAGAUGACGACCUGUUUUUUACUUUUUUUUCGGGUUUGGAAUUGAAGAUGAAGAAGUUCUACCAGCGCUUGAUGAGCAACGGAUAACUUCUCUUCGACCCUGCCUGAAACGAGGUUAUUGUGGGCCAAGAUACGAGUUCGGGUCCGGAUUUUGACCCGUUAGACAGUCCGACACAAGUUUUUUGUGUGCUUUACGCAUCUUUCUUUCGACAUCUGGCUUUUCUCGUCGCGGUGCAGAAGACGUUGUUGUCAAGAUUGGCAUUAAAUGUAAAGGCAUAGUCACUUGCCACUUUUUGACUUGAUAUUGAAAGUGACAAAUGAAGAAUAAAACAUAUUCUUUUUCAAAA